UACGUAUGGUGCAAGCGUUAUCCGGAUUUACUGGGUGUAAAGGGAGCGCAGGCGGCACGGCAAGCCUGAUGUGAAAGCCCGCGGCCCAACCGCGGGACUGCAUUGGGAACUACCGGGCUGGAGUGCCGGAGAGGUAGGCGGAAUUCCUAGUGUAGUGGUGAAAUGCGUAGAUAUUAGGAGGAACACCAGUGGCGAAGGCGGCCUACUGGACGGUGACUGACGCUGAGGCUCGAAAGCGUGGGGAGCAAACAGG
rnacentral:rRNA from 1 species